rnacentral:rRNA from 1 species
AGUGAACGCUGGCGGUAGGCCUAACACAUGCAAGUCGAACGGCAGCACAGUAAGAGCUUGCUCUUACGGGUGGCGAGUGGCGGACGGGUGAGGAAUACAUCGGAAUCUACUUUUUCGUGGGGGAUAACGUAGGGAAACUUACGCUAAUACCGCAUACGACCUACGGGUGAAAGCAGGGGAUCUUCGGACCUUGCGCGAUUGAAUGAGCCGAUGUCGGAUUAGCUAGUUGGCGGGGUAAAGGCCCACCAAGGCGACGAUCCGUGGCUGGUCUGAGAGGAUGAUCAGCCACACUGGAACUGAGACACGGUCCAGACUCCUACGGGGGGCAGCAGUGGGGAAUAUUGGACAAUGGGCGCAAGCCUGAUCCAGCCAUACCGCGUGGGUGAAGAAGGCCUUCGGGUUGUAAAGCCCUUUUGUUGGGAAAGAAAAGCAGCAGGUUAAUACCCCGCUGUUCUGACGGUACCCAAAGAAUAAGCACCGGCCAACUUCGUG